rnacentral:ncRNA from 2 species
UUGCGUCACCGGGGGUGCCCACGUUUUUCCCGCACAGGGAAACGGGGCUGAGAGAGUCCCCAAAGAACCUGAUCCGGAUCAUACCGGCGGAGGGAGCGUGACGGGGCAACGGC